rnacentral:rRNA from 1 species
AUUGAACGCUGGCGGCGUGCCUAACACAUGCAAGUCGAGCGAUGAAGCUCCUUCGGGAGUGGAAUAGCGGCGGACGGGUGAGUAACACGUGGGUAACCUGCCUCAUAGAGGGGAAUAGCCUUCCGAAAGGGAGAUUAAUACCGCAUAACAUAGCACUACCGCAUGGUAGAGUUAUCAAAGGAGCAAUCCGCUAUGAGAUGGACCCGCGGCGCAUUAGCUAGUUGGUGAGGUAACGGCUCACCAAGGCGACGAUGCGUAGCCGACCUGAGAGGGUGGUCGGCCACAGUGGAACUGAGACACGGUCCAGACUCCUACGGGAGGCAGCAGUGGGGAAUAUUGCGCAAUGGGGGAAACCCUGACGCAGCAACGCCGCGUGAGUGAAGAAGGCCUUAGGGUUGUAAAGCUCUGUCAUAUGGGAAGAUAAUGACGGUACCAUAAGAGGAAGCCACGGCUAACUACGUGCCAGCCGCCGCGGUAAAAC